rnacentral:rRNA from 1 species
CACACGCCCGUCACGCCAUGGAAGUGGCGAGCGCCCGAAGUCCGUGUCGGAACCCGCAAGGGACCAAGCGGCCGAAGGCGAGCGUCAUGACUGGGCG